rnacentral:rRNA from 1 species
UCAAGUAAGUAAGGGCGUACGGCGGAUGCCUUGGCCAUAUCAGCCGAAGAAGGACGCGAUAAGCUGCGAUAAGCUGCGGUGAGGUGCAAGUAACCUUUGACCCGCAGAUCUCCGAAUGGGGAAACCCGGCAGCAGUAGUGCUGUCAUCCUCUAUGAGGAAGGGCACCCGGUGAACUGAAACAUCUAAGUAGCCGGAGGAAAAGGAAUCAACAGAGAUACCCCUAGUAGCGGCGAGCGAACGGGGCAGAGCCCAAACCGGGAUGGGAAACCAAUCCGGGGUUGUGGACUGCUAUCAAAUGCAUGAGUGAAGCAGAAUGAGCUGGGAAGCUCAGCCAGAGAGAGUGAGAGCCUCGUAGGCGUAAGCAAGUGCAUGGAGCAGGAUCCGGAGUACCACGGGACACGAGAAACCCUGUGGGAAGCUGGGGGGACCACCCUCCAAGGCGAAACACUGAUAUGGACCGAUAGCGCAUAGUACCGUGAGGGAAAGGUGAAAAGAACCCCGGGAGGGGAAUGAAAGAGAACCUGAAACCGUAUGUCUACAAGCAGUCGAAGACCUUUAUAUGGUCGACGGCGUGCCUAUUGAAGAAUGAACCGGCGAGUUACUUCAGCUAGCGAGGUUAAGCAGAAAAUGCGGAGCCGCAGCGAAAGCGAGUCUGAACAGGGCGUAUAGUUAGUUGGAGUAGACCCGAAACCACAGUGAUCUACCCAUGUCCAGGUUGAAGCACAGGUAAAAAUGUGUGGAGGACCGAACCAGUGAGCGUUGAAAAGCUUUUGGAUGAGAUGUGGGUAGGGGUGAAAUGCCAAUCGAACGUGGAGAUAGCUGGUUCUCCCCGAAAUAGCUUUAGGGCUAGCCUCAUGGCGAGAGUACAGGCGGUAGAGCACUGAACGGGGUAGGGGCCUAUCCGGCUACUGAACCUAAUCAAACUGCGAAUGGCUGUACUUAUCCAUGGGAGUCAGACUGUGAGUAAUAAGGCCCAUAGUCAAGAGGGAAACAGCCCAGACCAACAGCUAAGGUCCCCAAUGCCGUACUAAGUGGCGAAGGAUGUGGAAUUUCGAAAACAACCAGGAUGUUGGCUCAGAAGCAGCCACCAUUAAAAGAGUGCGUAAUAGCUCACUGGUCGAGAGACUCUGCGCCGAAGAUGUCCGGGGCUAAAGUACGGAACCGAAGCUUUGGCAAUUAACAUAAGUUAAUUGGGUAGGGGAGCGUUCCUGCAUGGGAGAAGCCUGACCGGAAGGACAGGUGGACAGGCAGGAAGAGAGAAUGCCGGUAUGAGUAGCGAAAAGAAGGGUGAGAAUCCCUUCCACCGAAAGCCUAAGGGUUCCUGGGCAACGAUCGUCGUCCCAGGGUAAGUCGGGACCUAAUCCGAGGCGGAGACGCGUAGGAGAUGGACAACAGGUUGAAAUUCCUGUACUGGCUGAGGCCGUUUGAGCGAAGGAGUGACACAGGAAGGAAGGCGCGCGUGCGAAUGGAAGAGCACGUCCAAGCAGGUAGGUCGGGAGACAGGCAAAUCCGUUUCCCAUAAGGCCGAGAUGCGAUGGGGAGCUUCUGGAGACAGAAGCGAAGGGGCUGGCACUAAACUGUCGAGAAAAGCUUCUAGUGAGGACUCAGGCACCCGUACCGAAACCGACACAGGUAGGCAGGAUGAGAAUUCUAAGGUGCGCGGGAAAACCCUCGUUAAGGAACUCGGCAAAAUAUAUCCGUAACUUCGGGAAAAGGAUAACCCAGCGUACGUGAAGUGCAGAAACGCAUGGAGCGGAGAUGGGUGGCAGAAGAGAGGCCCAAGCGACUGUUUACCACAAACACAGGCGUCUGCUAAAGCGAAAGCUGAUGUAUAGAUGCUGACACCUGCCCGGUGCUGGAAGGUUAAGAGGAAGUGUUAGCGCAAGCGAAGCAGUGAAUUGAAGCCCCAGUAAACGGCGGCCGUAACUAUAACGGUCCUAAGGUAGCGAAAUUCCUUGUCGGGUAAGUUCCGACCCGCACGAA